CAGCCGCCACGGUAAUACGGAGGGUGCAAGCGUUAAUCGGAAUUACUGGGCGUAAAGCGCACGCAGGCGGUCUGUCAAGUCAGAUGUGAAAUCCCCGGGCUUAACCUGGGAACUGCAUUUGAAACUGGCAGGCUAGAGUCUUGUAGAGGGGGGUAGAAUUCCAGGUGUAGCGGUGAAAUGCGUAGAGAUCUGGAGGAAUACCGGUGGCGAAGGCGGCCCCCUGGACAAAGACUGACGCUCAGGUGCGAAAGCGUGGGGAGCAAACAGGAUUAGAUACCCGUGUAGUCCCUGUCUCUUAUAC
rnacentral:rRNA from 1 species